rnacentral:rRNA from 1 species
UACGUAGGGGGCUAGCGUUGUCCGGAAUCAUUGGGCGUAAAGAGCGUGUAGGCGGUCCGGUAAGUCCGCUGUGAAAGUCGGGGGCUCAACCCUCGAAUGCCGGUGGAUACUGUCGGGCUAGAGUGCGGAAGAGGCGAGUGGAAUUCCUGGUGUAGCGGUGAAAUGCGCAGAUAUCAGGAGGAACACCUAUUGCGAAGGCAGCUCGCUGGGACGUAACUGACGCUGAGGCACGAAGGUCAGGGGAGCAAACGGG